rnacentral:rRNA from 1 species
AUACGUAGGGUGCGAGCGUUGUCCGGAAUUACUGGGCGUAAAGAGCUCGUAGGUGGUUUGUCGCGUCGUCUGUGAAAUUCCGGGGCUUAACUCCGGGCGUGCAGGCGAUACGGGCAUAACUUGAGUGAGGUAGAGGUAAGCGGAAUUCCUAGUGUAGCGGUGAAAUGCGUAGAUAUUAGGAGGAACAUCGGUGGCGAAGGCGGCUUACUGGGCCUUUACUGACGCUGAGGAGCGAAAGCAUGGGUAGCGAACAGGAUUAGAUACCCUGGUAGUCCAUGCCGUAAACGGUGGGCGCUAGGUGUAGGGGUCUUCCACGACUUCUGUGCCGUAGCUAACGCAUUAAGCGCCCCGCCUGGGGAGUACGGCCGCAAGGCUAAAACUCAAAUGAAUUGACGGGG